AAGACGGGAACUGCGGGGCCCUCGCCCGCCCCUCUGCUUCCCGCCCGCUCUCUCGGUGUCGUCUCAGCGUGUCCCCCUGCCCUUGCGGAAGUCAUUAAAACAUGAAACUUAAAGAGAACUAUCAUUGUCUUCAAAUUUAAGAUCUGGAAAAAAUAGAUGAAACACAUCUUUGAUAAAUUAUUUGGGGUAAAUGAAAAUCUGUAUGUGGCUUCAUCCACAGCUAUCAAAUGGCCAUCACAUGGGGUGCACUUGUGAUUUUUAAGAUGCCACAGCACUCGACUUGGUGCUAGGAAUCCGAACUCUGGUCCUCAUGAAUGUAUUUGUGUCCCUACCAGACUCUGGCAGAGGUCAAGAUGACAUCAAAGUUGGAAUUCAUCUGCCUCAGCCUUCCAAGUGAAGCAUGAAUUGAUGACUUGCCUCUGAAACCCUAAAUGAAGAAUGAUGACCGGGCCAGCUAAGUAUCCACCAGGCCAUCCAGGGCACUGACAAUCAUGAAGAAGUGCAAAUGCUGACUCCCACCUGGCUGCAGAGGAAUCAAAGCCCUUAGCUUUCUGGCCCCUCUCCAUUCCGGCAAGGUUCCUUCUCUUUCCACCCAAUCGCAGUCAUCAUUUAAAGAAGCCACUUCCCGUGUUUACAAAAGGUGCAUUUGGGUUAUCUCUACUUGAAUACCUGUUUUCACAUCUUCAAGCAAGAGGAAUCUUAUUGUUCCAGCAUGCUGGGGUUGCCCUGUACAUGAAGGAGAGAGAACGACCCCAUGCAGCCCGUUCGGCGAGUUUUAUACAGUUUUCAGAACAGCAGCCAUUAGGCACAAUGUGGUUGGCAGAACAGAGUGACUUUCAAGCUGAUUGGUCUUAGGGAAUGAGGUGGCAAGGACUUCCCUUGUCUGUAGGUGGCCAACAGUCUCGAAAUGUGUCUAUGUGCUCUGGGCCUCCUCCAUCCACAGGUGGCGAUGGUUGGUUCCUCACCCCUUCUGGAGGGGAGGGGUGCCUAUGUGCUUCUUGACCUUUCUCUAGGGAAGGGUCUGGUGGAAUUUUCCAAAGUUCCUGAGCUGACCUCUUCAGUGUAAACAGACCUAGUAUUGCUCUGUGUUGCAGUGACCCUGUACACACAGAUCUGGCUACCGACAGUAAUAUUAAACAUGGCACAUAACAAUACAUAGCACUUGACUGUUGUGUGUAAUUUUAUAAAACCACACUUGCUCCUUGCCCAGUGCUGUGGCUCCCUCUAUGCUAUGAGAUCAACCGCUGCCAACAGCCGUCUCACCCAACCCCCAUGGCUAGCUUUGCCAAACUGCUCCAUUUUCCAAGCUCUGCCAAGCCACCAGCUCUGCCACUUUCCCAUGGACUCUGGGAACUGCGAUCCCUCUUCACCGGCCAACCACCCUGAGGCUAGCUCUGCCAAACCUCUAACAACCACCCAGGCUGUGCCCUUUCUCCUGCCCACUUGAGUUACCACAGAUGGAAAACACUAGACAGCCUUAAUAUUUUAAAACCAGCCAGAUAACUCAACUGCUGGGUGCAGAGUCUGUUGCUCUAAAUGCAUCGGUUAUCCUAUCUGGGAAUUCCACUGAAGGCCGAGGCUGCCACUGGCUCUGGUUGCUCCCAGGCCAUAGUCCUAGUCUUUGCUCCCCGCUCCAAAGCCUGGCUGCAAAGCCCUUUCUCCAUCUCUUUCCUUCCUCUUCCUCCUGGGACCCAGAAGUCCCACCUUUUUUCCUCCGUCCAAUGAUUAGCUUCUGCUGUCUUUAUUGACAUAAUCAAGAAACAUUUAGUGAAAUUCCAGCACUUGGGAGGCAAAGGCAGGCAGAUUUCUGAGUUUGAGGCCAGCCUGGUCUACAGAGUGAGUUCCAGGACAGCCAGGGCUACACAGAGAAACCCUGUCUCGAAAAACAAAAACAAAAACAAAAACAAAAAAGAAGAAACAUUUAGUGAACCAGAUUUUAGUGUCAGCUCCUCCCCUACACUUGACAAUAAUAACAGACAAUUUUGUUGCUGGCUUAUCUGUUUAAUAUGCCAUGCUUUUGUUUGUUUGUUUAUUUUGUUUUUAUUUUGUUUUUGUUUUUCAAGACAGGGCUUCUAUGUAUAGCCCUGGCUGUCCUGAAACUUACUUUGUAGACCAGGCUGGCCUCGAACUCAGAAAUCCGCCUGCCUCUGCCUCCCAAGUGCUGGGAUUAAAGGCGUACGCCACCACUGCCUGGCACUGUGCCAUGCUUUUGUUGUUAUUUUGAGAUGUAUGAAUGUUAGCUGAAUAUUGUUACUGGUUUAUGUAUCUACUAUUCUAUACUUUUUCUCACUCAGCUAUACUAAUUUAAGACAUUUAUUCUCAAACAGGAUGCUGUGUCCUGCAGCAUCCUCCUAGCUUGCAUUUGGUGUUCCUCCUGAUGGCAACAGGGGCCACGAGGAGUGACCAGCAUAUGUGAUCAAUGUAUGUAAAUGCAGCCUGGAGAAUGCAUAACAAGGGAACUGCCCUGGUGUAUGCUUCAUGGCUGCCUGUGAUUAAGUCAUACACGACUAGCUGACAGAAUGAGUCCUGGACAGGUCAGAGGAGGGAGCACUCCCAGAACCCGGAAAGGGGAGCACUCCCAGAACCCAGGAAGGGGAGCAGUAGCCAGCUGCUAGUCUGACAGGAGCCCACGACCAUCUGCCAGAGAGGAACAGCAUUCCCAGACACUGGUGCUGCUCCUGCAGCCUCCUCCCCUCCCUCUCCCAGCUCCUCCUAGCACCUCCUUCCACUUGAUACCAAUUGGAAGGGAAUCUGUUUGUACAGUCCGUGUGAGUCAGCCUUCCAAGGCUCACAGUGGGAUGAGAAACUCCCCCUCGGAGCUGGGGAGAUGCUCAGUGAAUCUGAGCACCCUUGUAAAAGUCAGACAUGGCCACAUGUGCCUAUAACCCCUGGGGACACAGACAGGCAGAUCCCAGGUCUUAGGUCCUGUGAGAGAAUCUGCUCCCAAUAAGCAGCAGGCAGGUAGUCUCAGCGUGACGUCCGAGCUGUAGAUGAGGCAGCGGACACACAGCUUGACAGUUUCCAUACAGACAGCAUCUGAAAUGGGGGUCCUUGGGGUUUCCAUCAGGAAGCAAAUAACCACGUCUAAUCAGCACUUAACAGUGUGUAAACAGCACUUCCAACCAACUGAAAGCUGCCAAGCGAUUUGUUCUCUUACGCAGUUUAUGCUUUCUCUGCUAUUCACUCAGCAAACAAAGAUAACACAGUGAUAACACUUGCUUUCCACUGUUCUCAAUUCAUUAUCUUCUCGAUCCAACUGAAUCUCAAUGAUACAAUUGAAUUAAAAGUCUUGUUUGCUUUCAGCAUGUCAAGUAACCUAUGAAAUGAUUUGAAACAAGUAAAUUUGUUUGUUUUCAUUCGCUGAAGAUACCGUAACAGAAUACCUCACAUGGAAAUACUUUAAAAAAAAAAAAUGUAUGUUUUCCCAUGGUUUUGGAGACCAGAAGUCCAGGAUCAAGAGGAAGGCUGCCCCUUCCCUCUGAAGGUGCAGAAGAUAAUGAGCUCCUUUGGCCUGAGGUGACACCUCUGAGGUGACACCCCUGGCUUGGAGCAGCAUGACUCCAAUCUGUACACAGCUCUCUGUAUGCAUGUUAUCUCAUCUUUUAUAGGAACUCCAGUCAUAGUGAACUAUGGCAUGUGAUGGCAAAUUCAUGGACCAGCCCCACUCCAUUUAAGAUUAAAAGCCAUCUUGUUACAAGUUCAUUUCUGUUUUCUGUAGAAUUUGGAUUUGGAUAGGUCUUGACCCAUAUUCUGGAGUUUGACAUGCUCCACCCUGAUACCCUGACCGCCACCCUGAUAAGAUGUUCUGUCAAAUAACUUUGCAAUGUUCUGCCGAGGUUCUAUGUACCCCAAAACCUUAAAAAACUCCCUAGCAUUGCAGUUUGGGGGACUAUAUCAGCUCCACUUUUUCCUAUGCUCAAUGUUAUUUUUCUCAAACCCCACUUUAGGGAGAUAGGCCUGUCUGACAGAAAAUAAAACUGUGUUUAUCUUGACAAAGG